UACGUAGGGUGCAAGCGUUAAUCGGAAUUACUGGGCGUAAAGCGUGCGCAGGCGGUUGUGCAAGACAGAUGUGAAAUCCCCGGGCUUAACCUGGGAAUUGCAUUUGUGACUGCACGGCUAGAGUGUGUCAGAGGGGGGGGUAGAAUUCCACGUGUAGCAGUGAAAUGCGUAGAUAUGUGGAGGAAUACCGAUGGCGAAGGCAGCCCCCUGGGAUAACACUGACGCUCAUGCACGAAAGCGUGGGGAGCAAACAGG
rnacentral:rRNA from 1 species